rnacentral:rRNA from 1 species
GGUAAUCAAAGUUAAUCAUUAAAUCUUAGUAGCAAUUACUAAAUCAAUUUUUAAUAACAAAUUACUAGAGUAAAAAAGAGGAUUGUAGAAUUUCAAGUGGAGAAAUAAAAUUCGUAGAUUUUUGAAGGAAUAUCGAAAGCGAAGGCAACAAUCUGGUUUUAUACUGACGCUGAUUCACGAAAGCCUAGGUAGCAACCGGGAUUAGAGACCCCGUUAGUCUAGGCUGUAAACGAUGAGUACUCAUUUUUGGAUAGAACAUAUUCAGAAAUUUAGCUAACGCGUUAAGUACUCCACCUGAGGAGUACAGUGGCAACACUGAAACUCAAAGGAAUUGACGGGGAUUUAUACCAUUCGUGGAAUAUGUGGUUUAAUUCGUAAAUACACGCAAAACCUUACCAACUUUUGAAUGAUUUUAUAUUCUAAUGAAGAAAUUUGUUAUGUUAAAAAUUACAGGUACUGCAUGGCUGUCGUCAGCUCGUGUCUUGAGAUGUUAGGUUUAGUCCAGUAACGAGCGAAACCCUUUUUCUUUGUUGCAAAAGACAAUUUGUUCAUUUAUAUUAAUUGAAUUGUGUCUGUGUACUUAAAGAGUAUUGCCUAUGAUAUAUAGGAUGAAAGAAAGGAUGACGUCAAGUCUUCAUGGUCCUUAUAAGUUGGGCUACACAUGUAUUACAAGGGUAACUACAAUAAGAUGCAAUAAUGAAAAUUGNNGCAAAUCU